GCGGACGUGGUGAAAUUGGUAGACGCGCUGGACUUAGAAUCCAGUACCGUGAGGUGUGAGAGUUCAAGUCUCUCCGUCCGCACCA
rnacentral:tRNA from 2 species